rnacentral:misc_RNA from 1 species
GCAUUGAUGUCACAGCUUCAGCAUCUGGUUCCAUUUCAUCCUUGUCAGAACUGUAAUCCGACGCGGGACGCAAAUUCCCAGCAGAUAGAGCCUCAGCAGCGUCGGCAUUACGUUGGUCAUCGUCGAGGGUGCUACCAUACUCGCUCUUGAUGGACCACGAGUCGGCGGCCACUGAGCGGUCAUCGUCAGAGACCAGAUCAACGGCGGACGGAGCAGCCCGAGCCUGCUGCAACAACUCGGCAUCCUCCGGCGUCAAUCGAAUCGCAGCCAUGAUCAGAAGAAAUGGAAGAAAAAAGAAACCCUAGAAGGAAUCUGAGGAGUUGAGUUGAAUCAGAAGAACCUUGGUUGGUACGACACU